rnacentral:rRNA from 1 species
CGCCUCUUGACUAAAUAUAAGAGGUCCAGCCUGCCCAGUGACUAAUGUUCAACGGCCGCGGUAUCCUAACCGUGCGAAGGUAGCGUAAUCACUUGUUCUUUAAAUGGGGACUUGUAUGAAUGGCAUCACGAGGGUUAUACUGUCUCCUUUUUCCAAUCAGUGAAUCUAAUCUCCCCGUGAAGAAACGGGGAUACAACUAUAAGACGAGAAGACCCUAUGGAGCUUUAAAUACCUCUUCAAACGUUGGACCUUUCCCCCCCAGUUUUUAACUCACUUAUAUUAACCCUGAACGCCAUGAAGACAACUUUUAGGUUGGGGUGACCGCGGAGAACAACAAAACCUCCACGCUGAAUCAGACUUUCUAAGCCUGAACUAAGAGCCACCGCUCAAUGCACUAAAAAAUUAACAUCUAUUGACCCAAUACAUCACUUGAUCAACGAACCAAGUUACCCUAGGGAUAACAGCGCAAUCCAUUUCAAGAGUCCAUAUCGACAAGUGGGUUUACGACCUCGAUGUUGGAUCAGGGUAUCCCAGUGGUGCAGCCGCUACUAAUGGUUCGUUUGUUCAACGAUUAAAACCC